rnacentral:rRNA from 1 species
UAUUAAAAACAUGGCUUGUUGAGUAUAAUUUCAGGUCUGACCUGCCCAAUGAGUAAUUAAAUGGCUGCGGUAUACUGACCGUGCAAAGGUAGCAUAAUCAUUAGUUUUUUAAUUGAAAGCUUGUAUGAAAGGUUUGAUGAAAAAGUGACUGUCUCUGGAAAGAUUAAUUAGAACUUUAUUUUUAAGUUAAAAAGCUUAAAUGUGUAUAGAAGACGAGAAGACCCUAUAGAGUUUCAUAUUUUUUGUAAAGAUUUUAGGUUUUUGGAAGUAAAAAAUUUAGUAUUUUUGAGAUAGUAUUUUGUUGGGGUGAUAGGAAAAUUAAGUAAACUUUUCUUGGUUUAGUACAUUAAUGUGUGAAUAUAUGAUCCUAGGAUUUAGAUUAUAAGAUAAAAUUACCUUAGGGAUAACAGCGUGAUUUUUUAGAGAGUUCUUAUCGAAAAAAAAGUUUGCGACCUCGAUGUUGGAUUAAAAUAAGUUAUUGGUGAAGAAGCUGAUGAAUUAGGUCUGUUCGACCUUUAAAAUUUUACAUGAUCUGAGUUUAAACCGGUGUGAGCCAGGUCGGUUUCUAUCUA